GUUGACCCAUGGAACUUGAAGCCGCCUGAUUUCUCUCCUAAACUCUACACAUCUCUGAGUGUCCCUCGAAGGAAGAAGACAAAAAACACACAUAAUCCUUUACUGACACUUGCCUCCAGUGAGACAGUCUUAAGUGUGGACAGAUUUACCCCAAACAUUCUAAUUCCUGAGAUUGACCAGAAUAAAAAAGCACUGCCAAAAUUCAGCACAUCAUACAGACCUCCUGGCUCUUUAGAAUCCAAGCUGAUGUUUGUUAAAACAGGGAAACACCCUCCUGUGGCCUACAAGAACCCUAAACCACAUAACUUUAGACAGCUUGCUGAUGACAUGCCAAAUAUGGUUACUGCAGCUGAAAGGGAUCCUGGUCAGUUGAACUUCAAAUCUCAGCACCUGAGUAUAAUUAGGGGGACCAGAUCGGACACAGACAUUUAUUCAAGGGAACCUUUUGGGAAGAUGGACACCUAUAAGCCAACAGAGCCUAGAUGGGAGGCCAGGCUCACACUCCCUAAAUUGCCUUGGCCCCCAAAAUCUGCCUCCUACACUGUGAGUGGGCUGGUUUAUGCCCAGUCUGGCUAUAGGCCCCACACCAUUUUAAUUCAAUGCUUUUAUGAUACUUUAGGCCACUUCCGAAACGUGACUUAGUCAGUUACCAAGUUAUUAUGCUGUUUAACACUGUUUUGGUAAAAAGCUUAGGGCUUGAGAAAUGUAACCACUCAAAUUCAUAGGCAGAGAUAUUGAUGCAAUGAUUGACCCUCCAUGAUAUCAAGAUUAUUGUUUUAACUACAUGUUUUAAAGCUAUACAGUGUAGGAUCAUCUUUCCUCCAUUAAAAAGCCUAGAGCAUAAGGCAAACCCAUAAUAAAUAUAGUAUCUUCUGCUUCAAGUGUCUACUGAUAUACAUUUUCUAAAAUAUUUUCUUCUUCUCAGAGACACAGGCACAGACGCGGAGUGUACAGUGCUUUCAUGGACAGAGUAGAGGAGAAGAUCUCCAGCUCUUGGAAAACUGGCUGACACUUUGACCUCUAAAGUCUUCUAUGGAGUCCACAGCUGUGCAGUGAUCUGUGCAUCGGCUCCACUAAAAUUUCCAGUGUGUUAAGCCAGACAAUAUGUUCUAAUCUGGGUGUGUGAAAGGCAUGGCUGAAAUAUUUGUAUUCACAGAAAGGAAUCUUGCAGGCUAUAGCCUAAUAAAAAUACUUUGAGGUAUCAUGAAAAUACAAUAAUUGUAGGCUAGACUAGAGAGUUCAUUGCAAAACAAUUGCCCAUGCCAUGACACUUUUUGAAAGAUGUCAAUUUAUCUAGGCCUAAUAGGCUAUUGUGUGUGUAUAAAUCUAUUCUCUCAGACAAUAGGCAACAAAGAUAAUCCCAGUAACUGGAAAAUGUAAACAAAGUGUGUCAUUACAAUGCCAUUGAAACUAAUUUCUAAAAUGUAGGCCGAAAUGCAAUUAAAGUUCACAAUUGGAGAGCAGCUAAACCUCGCUUAAUCCAGAACAAAAAUCUGGAGUAAUUAGCCAGAUGCUCGAUUAAAUUCUGGGUCCAUACAUGAGGGAGGGAGAAGGGAACAAACAGCUCCACCUGUUCUCUUCGCAAGUUAGGGGCAAAUCUAUGGGCCAAAUGUUCCCUCCCCUUUCCGAAAUUCUAAAGCACCAGAAAUAAUGCUCCUCAUUAUCUCACACUUCCCAUUGUAUCUUGACAAAUGAAUGUACCAUUUAUGUUAAAGUCGUCUGUCAACAAGAGAUUAGAGAGCAGCCAAACUCAUUUCGGAACCCGGAACCAAAUUAUUGAAAAUGUUUGUUCAUGUAGCAAUUACAAGCACAUUCCUAUUGCUAAACGUGCCCUACAUUUGUAGGCUAUAUAAAAGUUUGCAUUCGAGAGAAAAGUUAAGUAUAUUUAGAAGUUGUAGCCUACACAUUGUAUUCCUGACCUGGGGGGUAUACUACAAAGCAGCAUCAAUGAUUUAGCCAGCUAACUUUUAUAAGCAACCAGAAAUAACUUGGUUUUAUGGUUAAUAAAAUAAAAUUGUUGUUAAAUCAAUUAGACCAUGCCCAUGUCAAGCUUAUCUUUAUACAAAAUAAAAAAUUAUCAGAAUAUUGUUAUAAUCCUGUUUUGUAGUAUGCCCACAGAGUUUCUAAACCUUGUUAUAAACUGAGUGGUUCGAAAACUGAAUGCCGAUUGGCUGAAAGCCAUGGUAUAUCAGACCGUAUACCAUGGGUAUGACAAAAACAUUUUUUUACUGUUGUAAUUACGUUGGUAACCAGUUUGUAAAGCAAUAAGGCACCUUGUGGUAUAUGGCCAACAUACCACCAUGUCUGACUCCAGGUAAAAACUGCAGGUAGCCUAGCGGUUAACAGAGUCCCACCAGUAAACGAAAGGUCGCUGGUUUGAAUCCCCAAGCUGACUGGGUAAAAACAAAAAAUCUAUGUGCCCUUGGGCUAGGCACUAAACCCUAAUUGCUCCUGUAGGUCACUCUGGAUAAGAGUGUCUCCUAAAAUGUAAAACGUUGUGCUUAAGAAUAGCCCUUAGCUGUGGUAUAUUGGCCAUAUACCCCUCUGCAGUAGACCAUGGAUAUACUGACAAGAUACAUGUCCCUCUGCCCUAACGAAACCUUUGUCCACAAAGCGGCAUGGAGGGCUGUCUCGCUCCCGCCUAUCCUUUCUUUGAAUUGGUUGCUACAUCACAUUAUUGUAAUCCCUUUUUAAAUAUUUGAUUAGGGUCGUUGACGUCAACCGCCUGUAUUCAAUCUCGAGACAACUCCAAUAUGAAGUGUUUGUUAUUUUCAAAGUUGCCGGGAUGUCACGUACCCUAUUUAUAACAGUACAAUCGUAACAACUUAAACAUUACAAAACUUAUAUUCGAUCAAAUAAACCUCGUGUUGCAAAUAAGCCAUUAAACGCCACCUGCUGUAGGGAGGCAGAUUUUCCGCCGAGUUGGACCCCUCACUCUGUCUGUACUCGCCAAUUUCGAUUGUUUGUAAACUGGUUCGACCUGGAUGGCGCGCUUUGGUCACGUCCACAUUUUAUCCAACAGGUGCUUGCGCUUAGUAAUUACAAUGUUCUUUGUUGAUGGGUGUUUGCCUAAUAUCUUUCUUCGUUGAAUAUUUAUGUGACAUUAUGUCCAGAUGUGUUGAAAUGUAUUAUGUAUUUGCUAGUGAUAUUGAAACUAGUGAAGUAUUGAGUGAGAUCUUUAUUUAAACUGAGGAAAUACCUGUUAUGUUCAUUUUGGAUUAUCCCAGUUUUAAGGGUUGGGUUAUUAUUAUGAUUAUUAUUAUUUUUACCUUACUGGCCUCAGAUGGCUCAUUUUCGGGUAAAUUUAGGCUGGAGUGGCAUGUUGUCCCAGCUGGGGCUCUGCUAAACUCAGCUGUGUGAGGAAUUGUCGGCACUCUGCCUAAAAGGAAGCUAACCUUCUGCACCUGUAAAUAAAUUCCACCAUUUUGUUCAUUUUGCACUUGAUUCCGUCGGACUCCUUCUUCGCAACCCCCUGACAAAACGGAUAGUGCUAUCCAGAAUCCCUGGGACGUCCCUAAACUAAAUCACACCUUCAUUAUUUUAAAUGUAAACUUCAAUGGGACGCUAUUUAUAAAAACAUAGGCUAACGUAUUUAUUUUUAAUUAUAUAUAAUUAACAUGAUUUAAAUAGAUCCCGCAGGAUUAUAAUUUCUACAAUUAAUCCUGUGAUUAUUCUCACUAUAAAUUCAGUAUGUGUGGGAUACAUUUUAUACUAUUGACCAAUCAGUUUGAAAGUAAACAGAUAAGGACGCAUCAUGGGGCGGCGCUGUUUAGCGUGUAUCAAAACCCAAGCCAAGGAACAUUGGACACACGAACACAGCAACAACAAAAAAACGGUAAAUUAGGCAUUUUUUAUAGUUCAAUAAGUUGUUCAUUUUAAUUCAUUCAUAUCACAAACUAUUUAGUGACUUUUCGUUCUUUUCUUUUACAUUUUGUUUCUUUUACUUUUACGAAUAUAGCCUACAGAAUGCUUGGCUUGCUAUGUUAAUAACCAUUCGUAAAUAUUAUGUUUAGACUUUGACCUAGCAUACUAUCAUAUACGUUUUUAUUUUAGGCAUUGCUGAUGUUGCAUAGUAUUGCGUAAUGAUAGUAUAAUAAAUCUAUUGGCUGGAAUAAUGACGUUACAGCAACAGGUGAUGGGCGUGGUCUGAAUGUAUACAUUAUUGACGGACUACCCCUUGAACCAAUCGUUUGCUAGAACAUGAGCAGGGUUUUCCACAAAUUGCACUGCAGUAUUAUUCUAUGGGAAUGAAACCGUCUAGUAAAAUAAUAGGACGCUGCUGAGCUCGCGACAGUCAUCAGAAGCUCUGUAUUGUGAACAUUGGAUAACAUGUUACUGGACCUCGUGAACACAGUUCCGCGUAUUCAGAGUGGAUAGAUGUAAGUGAUGCCCUGCACGAAAGAUGUCUGGCUGGACGGAACGGUUGUAGACUAUUAUAAAGAUUUAUGCCGCAAUUUGAGAGCCUGGUAUCAGGUCAAGUGGCGUUACUGGCUGUCAGCAUCUGUAUGCCUAUCGACUUUAUCUUAAUUUACGCGCCUAUCUUUGGCAAUAGGUAUGUGCAUGGCUGCCGCCUAAAAUUCAAGUGUGUAACGUACCUUGACAAUGUCCGGUAUUUCUGCAUUGUAUUUUCAUUUGAGCCUUUAUAAUUGAGGGUGUCUAAUGAAUGUCAUGCAUUUGGCAGUACUCCGGUCAAAUGCUGCCCUCAAUAAGUGAAUAACACAUGGAUAACGGAUUUGAUCACCUUCAUAUAGUCUAUAGGUAUUCUGUAUCGAUUUAAGUUUGCGGUAGACUUAUAUUUGUGUCCUAUUUUUGCUUGGCUGAAGUAAAAUUUGUUUUGUUUUUAGGUCACUGUUGUCUUCUAAUUGGAAUAUAAUCAGUGCCAAUCAUCGUUGGAAAAGUAGACCAACCCUUUUAUUCCACCUGU
rnacentral:lncRNA from 13 species